CCUUCCCCCCUCCCCCCCCCCCCCCCCACAAUCCGCCUAGGAGCUGCAGCUCCGUCCACCGCGCCGAGGAGCAGCAGCGCCAUCCCCCACAUCCGCCCAGGAGCUGCAGCUCCGUCCGCCGCGCCGAGGAGCAGUAGCGCCGUCCCCCACAUCCGGCCAGGAGCUGCAGCGCCGUCCGCUAUGCCGAGGAGAAGCAGCACCUACCACUGGCAAGGAGAAGCAGAAGGGUCAGACGCAAGGAUCCACCAUUGUUCUUCCUCAACGGGUGACCUCUGUUCCGGUUGAUUACUUUCCUCCGCCCCGCCUACAGAUUAUAGAGCAACAUCGAUACUCUGAGUGUAUAUUUCACUUAGUAGUUUGUGAAUUACUUGUGAAGGUGCAGCCACCAUGGACAAAAGGUGGAUGGAUGAGCCUAGGCACACAAAGGUGUAUUUGGAAGUGGUGGAAAAAUUCUUAAGCUUUGCAUUUAGUAAUUCAUCCGGAAACAAAAUAUUAUGUCCUUGUAAGAACUGUUCAAACUCAUUUUGGAAUGAAGAAAUAGAGGUGCGUGAGCAUCUGGUAUGUGAUGGGUUUCUCCGUGGGUAUAAAACUUGGAUUUUUCAUGGAGAAUCUAGUUCUUCUUGAAUGUUCCUGAUGCUCAUGAGAAUGAGGUUGAGGAGGAGUCACCUGAAGAGGAUGACAUUUCUGAUUUUCUUCGAGACUUAGGGGGGCGGUUUAGAUAAGGAGGGGGAUUUCGAAGAUGACGCAGUUUCUGAGCAGACCGAUGCAUAUUUAGAAGCUCUUCAAAAGUUGAAAAUGACUCUAGUCAAGAGCUAUAUCCUGGGUGUAAGAAGUUCUCAAAACUGCAUUUCAUAAUUAGACUACUUCAUGUCAAAUUGCUUGGUGGAUGGUCAGGUAAAAGUUUUAACCUGCUGCUAGAUCUACUUAAUGAUGCUUUUCCUGAAGGAUCCUCACUAGCCAAGAACUAUAAUAAGGCUAAGAAAUUGGUGAAAUGCCUAGGACUUGGAUAUGUUAGUAUUCAUGCAUGUGAACAUGAUUGCAUCCUCUUCUGGAAAAACCAUGCUAAGGCUGAUGUUUGUCCAAUAUGCAAUACAUCACGAUGGAAAUCUGAAAAGAAGAGUCUAGAUGGAAAACGUGUCCACAAGGUACCUAGGAAGGUUCUCCGUUAUUUUCCAAUAAAGAAAAGGCUACAGAGGUUGUUUAUGUGUUCCAGAACAGUAGCUCUCACCAGAUGGCAUGAUGAAGGGCGUACAAAAGAUGGUUUGAUCAGGCAUCCAGCCGAUUCUGCUCAAUGGAAGUAUUUUGAUGAGUUGCAUGAGGACUUUGCUAAGGACAACUGCCAUUUUAGGCUUGGAUAUGGAGCAUAUGGUUUUAAUCCUUUUAGAUCCAAUAAUGCUAAUUAUAGCGUUUGGCCUGUUAUCUUGAUUCCUUAUAACUUCCCUCCUUGGAUGUGCAUGGAGCAAUCAAUUUUUUUUCCUCACAUUGUUGAUUCCUGGUAAACAUGCUCCUGAUAGUGAUAUGGAUGUUUAUCUAGAGCCGUUAAUUGAUGAUAUGGUAGAUAUGUUUCUUCAUGGUGUCAGAACAUACGAUGCUUCAAAAGAAGAGUUUUUUAAUUUGAAGGCUGUUAUAUUAUGGACCAUUCAUGAUUUCCCGGGCCUAGUGUAUACAACUGGUUAUACCACCUCCGGUGAAGGAGCUUGUCCUGAAUGUCAUUCUGACACAUGUUCUCUUAUGCUGAAUAAUGGUAGCAAGACAUGCUACAUGGGACAUCGCAGGUUCUUACAUGAAGACCACCCCUUUAGGUCCAAUACCCACUCUUUUGAUGGCAUUGCUGAGCAUAGGCCAGCGCCAAUUCCUCUCUCUGGAUCAGAAAUUGUUGCUCAGACGAAAGAUAUGCAUACAGUUUUUGGGAAGGAUCCUUCCGGGAAGAAGAAAACCAAGCGGAAGCGCAAGGAUGAUGAGCCGUUAAUAGUUUGGAAAAGGAAGUCUAUUUUUUUCAGGCUGCCAUAUUGGGAGAGCUUGUUGCAGCGUCACAACUUAGACGUCAUGCACAUAGAAAAAAUGUAUGUGAGAACAUAAUCAACACAUUGUUGUGCAUUGAUGGGAAGUCUAAGGAUAAUCUGAACUCUCGCUUGGACCUUCAAGCUCUAAACAUUAGAAGUGACCUUCAUCCUGUUGAACUUGAAGUAGAAGAUAAAUUUUAUUUACCUCCAGCACCUUAUGAAAUGAAUGUUGCCCAACAGAGGUUAUUUUGUGGAGUAUUUAAAGGAGCUAGGUUCCCGUACGGGUUAGCAGCUGAUAUACGUGGUAAUAUGCAUGUCAAGGAAAGGAAAAUAAUCAGGCUAAAGAGCCAUGACAACCACAUCUUGAUGCAACAUGUGCUACCACUUGCUGUGAGAAGGCUAUUGCCCGAAAAAGUUAGUGCAGCACUGAUUCGUGUUAGCAAUUUUUUCAAGCAGAUUUACUCACAUGUUAGUUCUGUUAGUGAUAUGGAAGAACUAGAGGCUGAAAUAGCUGAGACCUUGAGCAUUCUUGAGACUAUAUUCCCCCCAUCCUUUUUUGAUAUCAUGGUACACUUGAUGGUGCAUCUUCCAGCCCAAGCAAAAAUAGUUGGUCCAGUGCAUUUUCGCAACAUGUUUCCUAUAAAAAGGUAUUUGUGCCGGUGUAAGGGCUUUGUUCAUACUAGAAGUCAUCCAGAGGGAUCUAUUGUCGAGAGCUAUUUAUUUGAUGAGACUCUUACGUACUGUUCUCGGUAUAUAAAAGGCCAAACUCAGUUUACUCGACAAAUUAGAAAUGAUCAAGGUUUGGGUAUGGAAACUAGUAGUACCACACCUUUCUUCAGCAACCUUGGUCGAGGACUAGUUGGCAAGCAUUUUGUGUUAUUGGACAAUAAGACUUGGAUUCAAGCUCAUAGAUAUGUCUUGUUCAACUAUGACCACAUAGAACCUUAUUUGAAGCAAGCUGUCCAUUUUUUGUUUUGCAAUUUGCAUUUUAUUUAUGCUUGUUGUUGAAGUGAUGAAUACUUUGCAGCAAGCAUAAGGAAUAUCUUUCCUCAGUUGGUCUUAAAAAUAAUCGACAAAUUAGUCGUGUCGAGCAUGAGACCUUCCAUGAGUGGUUUAAGAAGCAUGUAAGUGGUCACAUGUCUCUCCUUUCUUGUGAUGUAUAUAUAUGCAGUGAGUUCCAUCCAAUUUUAAAAACACUAUUCCACAUUCACGGGUGGAAUAAAUGGGUGACAGAGUGCCAGAGGAGAUAAGUAUUUUAGCUCAGGGGCCAUUCAAAGUUGCACAACAGUUUAGUAGCUAUACUAGAAAUGGCUUACAUGUUCAUAUGCAGUCCUAUGAUGAUGGUAGGCCAGUGCAAAAUAGUGGUGUAGCUCUAGUUAUGCAUACUACAGGUUAUGAAAAAGGAAACGUUGAUAAUAUGAUAAUAGGAAACCAAACAUUUUACGGCAUCAUAAAGGAAAUUCUUGAGUUGAACUAUGAAAAUAAAGGGAAAACAGUUCUCUUCAAAUGUGAUUGGGUUGACAACCGCAGGAAAGACAAGUGGGUAAAAGUUGAUCGCCUUGGGGUAACUUCUAUGAAUUUCAAGCAUUUGGUCAAUACUGGUGAAAAUAUAUCGGAUGAGCCUUUCGUUUUAGCAUCGCAAGCAACUCAAGUUUUCUAUGUUGAAGACCCAAUUGAUGAUGAAUGGCUUACUGUUAGCCACUACAAUCCACGGGGCUCAUAUGCCAUGCAUGAAGCUGAAGAUGAGGAUGUAGAGACCGCUAUGCCAAUGUUUGAUCCACAUAUCUAUUCAUGUUUCCAUGAUGAUCUUCAAAGUAUUAAUUGUGCUAGAACAGACAUGGAUGGGAGAAUUGUGUAUGCUAAAAAAUCUAGAAAGUAAGGGGCAUUUGCAUUUUUUUUGUUGCCUUGUGUUUUAAUCUCCUUGCUAUGCAUAUUUAUCCAAUAUUGUCUGUUAAGCAUAUUGUUCUAACAUUUGUCACUUGCAAGAAAAAAGAUGGUAGGAACAAGUUCCUCUGCUAGAUGAAACGACGAGGCUUGAAAAUAUUGCAGAAAAUGAGAGAAAGGUGAGAGCUCUUAUAGAACUUAAAAGGAAUGAAGCAUUGGGAGGAAACAAGAAUCCCACUAAGAAAGGUUCAUCACAACCACCCAGGAAAAGGAAAAAGGUUGUGUACUUCUCAUUGUUUACAUUCAAUGUACUUCUCAUUGUUCACAAGCAUUGGAUGAAGCAUUGUGUACCACCUUUCACACAUGUUUAUGCUUUUUUUCCAAGGCAAAUAACUGCACAAGUGAAGUUGCAAAUGGAGGGCGUAAUCUGCGUUCCCAGUCAAGGUUAAACCAUGAUGCUGAAGAUCCAAAUAAUGAACCCAUAGGACAUGGCUUAGAUGACAUUCAAGCAAAUGCUUCAGUUGUGACUGUACACCAAAAAAAGAAGAGAGGAAGGGGUCCCACCAAAUUAAGGAAGAUAUAUGAUAGAGACCAACCAAAACAAAAGGUUGAACUAAAUGAGUUUGGUUAGCCUAUUGGUAGCAAUGGUAAAACAUUUGCUAAUUUCAUUGGAACAUUGGUAAGGAAGCAAUGGUCGGUGCUAAUUGAGGACUGGAGAUAUGUUGAUCCCGUGUUAAAGUUGAAGCUAUGGGAUGACAUAAAGUCAUAUUUUGAGGUGGAUGAAGCUGCUUUCGAUUACUUUAUGACCGCAGCUGCAAAGAAAUGGAGAGAAUUUAAGUCAUACCUAAAGGAGAAGUUUGAUGCCACAUUGACAGAUGAGGAACUUAUGGAAAGACCUGAUGAAAGAAUUCAAAAGGACGAUUGGAUACAACUUAUCGAUCAAUGGAGAAAACCAGAAUCUGAGGAUAGCAGUGCUAGAAACAAACAAAAUCGUUCCAAUUUGAAAUUGCUACAUGUAGCUGGCAGCAAGAGUUUUGCUCGUGUUGGUCAUGAUAUGGCUCAGAAACUUGGGUACUAUCCAGGAAGAGACCAAAUAUUUGUUGAAGUACAUACAAGUAAGAAAACCAGAGUUCCCACCCCACUAGCAAUGCCACUAAUUAAGAAACUUCAAACUGAAGCUAAACUCCACCCAGAAUUGGAGGGAAAUUCUAUUGAAGAAGGGGAUCUUUAUGCACAUACUUUUGGAGAGAAGGAACCAAGAGGACGUGUCCAUAUGUUGGGUACGGGGCCAACUCCACAGAGUGUGGGCGCGCCUGGAACAAAAGCUAAAUUUCCAACAAAGCUAGCAAUGCAAAUACAACUUCGUCGACGUGUUGAACAAGAAGUUUCAACUCUAAAGGAGAGAAUGCAAGCAAUGGAAUGACGCUUCAAUGAGAUGCAGCACGCCAUGUUUUCACAAGGAAGUCACAGUGUUGAAACGCCCACGCCUUCGCCUCCUAAUUCUGUCUCUCGACCCGUGUUCUCACGUUUUUUACCGGAUGAUGACGAUGAGGAAGAGGAACAUGAGGGUCAUCAUGAUACAGUCCAGGAAGAUAGAGGCUUGUUCAUCCAGAAGCAUAUACCAUCUAGCCAUAAUGUUCCAGCCACACAUUUACCACCUAGAAGCCAUGUGGCCACUCCAAGCGCCGUCAGGCCUCUCAAGCCUCAUGAUCAAGAAGACCUUGUAAUCAUCUCAUCUCUUAACUACACAUAUCUUGUUGUGUUGUGUUUGCCAUUCUUCAUGUUUCUCAUAGACGAUGCAUGAAUUAGGUUGGUAGGGAUGUCAUAUUAUAUAGAGAAUCAUAUUUGUGAGGACAUAGUUAAUCAAAAGCAACCGUCCCCCAA